GGCGGCGUGCCUAAUACAUGCAAGUCGAGCGAAUGGAUUAAGAGCUUGCUCUUAUGAAGUUAGCGGCGGACGGGUGAGUAACACGUGGGUAACCUGCCCAUAAGACUGGGAUAACUCCGGGAAACCGGGGCUAAUACCGGAUAACAUUUUGAACCGCAUGGUUCGAAAUUGAAAGGCGGCUUCGGCUGUCACUUAUGGAUGGACCCGCGUCGCAUUAGCUAGUUGGUGAGGUAACGGCUCACCAAGGCAACGAUGCGUAGCCGACCUGAGAGGGUGAUCGGCCACACUGGGACUGAGACACGGCCCAGACUCCUACGGGAGGCAGCAGUAGGGAAUCUUCCGCAAUGGACGAAAGUCUGACGGAGCAACGCCGCGUGAGUGAUGAAGGCUUUCGGGUCGUAAAACUCUGUUGUUAGGGAAGAACAAGUGCUAGUUGAAUAAGCUGGCACCUUGACGGUACCUAACCAGAAAGCCACGGCUAACUACGUGCCAGCAGCCGCGGUAAUACGUAGGUGGCAAGCGUUAUCCGGAAUUAUUGGGCGUAAAGCGCGCGCAGGUGGUUUCUUAAGUCUGAUGUGAAAGCCCACGGCUCAACCGUGGAGGGUCAUUGGAAACUGGGAGACUUGAGUGCAGAAGAGGAAAGUGGAAUUCCAUGUGUAGCGGUGAAAUGCGUAGAGAUAUGGAGGAACACCA
rnacentral:rRNA from 1 species